rnacentral:sRNA from 1 species
GGAGCAUCGGUGAUGAUUUCUUAGAAACGUUAUCCUUGCACUAUGAUUGCCCGUGAAGAAAGUAUGGGGAAUAUUAAUCUGAGAUGCUUUUUCCUUUGAAUUUGUUUUUAUUUUAAUUAUAUAUUUUUGUGUAUGUUUGUGGAUCAAUGAUGUUACUUAAAUCUGCGUUAUCUUUCUGCAACUUCUCUCGACCUCGAGGGAUUUGAAGAUAAUUUCAAGUUACUGAGAUCUUAU